UACGUAGGGUGCGAGCGUUGCCCGGAUUUAUUGGGCGUAAAGGCGCGUAGGCGGCCACGCACGUCCGUUGUGAAAUCGCCCGGCUCAACUGGGCGGGGUCAGCGGAUACGGUGUGGCUCGAGCAAGCUAGGGGCAAGUGGAAUUCCCGGAUGUGAGUGGUGGGAAUGCGUAGAUAUCGGGAGGAACACCAGUGGCGAAGGCGGUUGCCUGGAGCUUUGCGUGACGCUGAUGCGCGA
rnacentral:rRNA from 1 species